GUCGUUCUCAUUGUGAAUAUGCAGUUUGAUUCCUCUUCUUCUGAUUGACGUGUAACCUGACAGAUAUUUGCUUCUAUUUGAAUGAUUGGCUCUGGUGCCCUUGAUGUAUAUUCGUAAACUCUCAGUGACACAUUUCAUAUUGACAAGUCGUCAUCUGACGCACACUCUAUCAAGAUUGUGUGCCUUUGAUGCAUGUAUGUGUGUAAGUGUGUUCACCUCGAACCACAUUCAAGUUCUGUGUUUGACCCUCAUCGAAGACUGGUUUUCCAGGAUUGAUGGAAGUUGUUAGACAAUAGAAAUUCUACGACCUAGCUGGGUUUCUGACUACAGUUUACUAGUCUCUUAUGACGAUUGCAGUAACAUCUGGUCCUUCGAACCGGAGCUUCCAGUGAACCUCCGGAUUAGAUUCGCUGCUUUGCAGACUUCAUUCGCUGCUUUGUAGACCUGACUUGCUGCCUUUGGCAGAUUCUGAAGAUUCGCUGUUGUGCAGACCUCAUUCGCUGCCGUGUAGACGUCAUUCGCUGCCUUUGGCAAAUUCUGAAGAUUCGCUGCUGUGCAGACUUCACUCGCUGCUGUGCAGACCUCAUAAUCUGCCGUGCAGACCUCAUUCGCUGCUUUGCAGACCGAACUUGCUGCCUUUGGCAAAUUCUGAAGAUUCGCUGCUGUGCAGACUUCACUCACUGCUGUGCAGACCUCAUUCGCUGCCGUGCAGACCUCAUUCGCUGCUUUGCAGAAUGGACUUGCUGCCUUUGGCAGAUUCUGAAGAUUCGCUGUUGUAUAGACUUCACUCGCUGCUGUGCAGACCUCACUUGCUGCUGUGCAGACCUCAUUCGCUGCCGUGCAGACCUCAUUCGCUGCGUGGGUAGACCUCAUUCGCUGCUGUGCAGACUUCAUUCGCUGCUUGUGCAGAUUUGAUUCGCUGCCUUCAGGCAGAUCCUUUGAAUUGAAGAUUGUUUGCCGAUAACAAGAUGCCGGGAGAAGAUAUCACCACUCUCACCCUUGACCAGUGCAAAGGGAAACAGAAGCUGAUCCGUGCAAAGAUUACCGGCUGCUGCACUCGUAUCCGUCGCGUUAUCAGCAACAAGCAAUCUCGCCGGGAAGCAGAAAAGUUGCUCAACGAAGCUAGAGCUCACCUUGGAGAAACUGGCCCCCUUAACGACCGGAUCAUCGAGCUACUUAACGAGGAAGAUGGAGUCACUCCACAUGACCAAUUUCUUCGUUAUAGUGGGGCCGUGGAUGGUUUAGCUGAUGAAGUGACC